ACGGAACGCCGGCCUGCACGCAAGCGUUGGACAGACGCACCCAGAGUAGCGGGAUGUUGCAGGUUGGCCUCCGAAGACCCGCGGUGCACUACAAGCAGCAUUGCAAAUUCAGAUUGCAUUGCAAAUUCAGAUGUAAUUAUCGUGGGAAAGGCCGGCAUGCAAUUCCGCUUGGAGGCCGGCAAGUCCAAGCUGCACAUCCGUCUCUUGCCCCUCCUCGUCUAUAACUCUAAAUAUAUGUGUGUUUAAAAACACACAUGUUCUCAAAUUUUAAAGUAUCCUUCCAGAUUUUGACUCGUGAACCAGCAAAGAAAAGUUCAAGCUAUGCAGAACACAAAGAAGAGAAUUGUUUGCCUGUGAGAAGAAGAUACCGCUUGAGAAGCCUUUACACUAAUUGACAUCUUGAAGAAAAUCCAGAUGUAAGAAACAACAACUUCUAUUUGGUUCGGUUGAUUUUAACUCAGAUAUAAGAGAUGUUCCACAUGUUCCAGUCCCCAUCAUCACAUCAUUGACUCCCCUAGACUGUGAGAGGGAAAGGGAUAUCUGAAUAAGAACUACUUUUCAGUUACCAAGUUCUGUUCUACUGGUCCCUGUUUUUUUUAA